rnacentral:lncRNA from 1 species
GAAUGUGGUUGUUGAGAUUAAGGUUUUGAAGAUGAAGAGGAAAUUAGGUGUGGCUCCUAGAAAUGGGGAUUAUAAAGGGUUUAUAUUUGAAUUGGUCUCGGAGAAGCGAAUUUUGGAAGCGAAGAUGACUGGGGAGGUUAUUGUUGGUGGUAAUUUUGUUGUUGAGGAUGAUGUUUUUAAUGUGUUGAUUGAAUCUGUUUCGGACAUUGAUCCUGUUGGGGCGAUCGUGUUUUUUAAUUAUGUUGUUGAGAAAGAGAGGUUUUUGAGUGUUUCGAGUUUGAAUAGCUUGAGUAGGAAUUUGUGUAGGGUGGGUAAGGUGGAUGAAUUGUUGGAGGUGUUUCGUGUUUUGGAUUGUCGAAAUUACUUCAAGGAUGUCGAGGGUUACAAUGUGAUGGUGUCGUGUUUGAAUAGCCUGAGUGAAAGAAGGCUAUGCUGUUCUUCAGGAGAUGAAGAAGAAAGGGUUGAAUCCUGAUGUCUCGUCUUAUAAUUAUGUGAUGGAAGCGUGUUGUAAGGAGGAUUUACUGCGCCCUGCGAGGAAGCUCUGGGAUGAGAUGUUUGCGAGUGGAUGUUGUGGGAAUUUGAAAACAUAUAAUGUUUUGAUUCACAAGUUUUUGAAAGAGGGGCUAAUUGAAGAGGCUCGGACGUUGUUUAAUCGCAUGGUGGACAAGGGAGUUGAACCUGAUAGUGCGAGUUACACUUUUCUCUUACAAGGGUUCUGCCAAGAAGAUAAACUUGAAGAAGCUUUUGAGCUCUAUAGCAGGUCUGUCAGACAGGAUAUCACCAUUGCAAGAGACAUUUUGGGCUCAUUUAUAUUGUCACUCUGCAAGAAAGGUAUUAAUGUAUAUAGUUUGUAAUCAAGGUCAUAGUCUCGUAAUCUUUCAUAUUGUGGAACAUUGCGAUUAAAUGCUGCUGAUGCAGCCUCAAUUGAAAUUGUGUUGAAGUCAUGGAGACAUCAAAGAUAUUGAUGUUGUGGCCCAAGUCGCGGCUGUGGACCUUUUUUCAAAAUCAUCCUUACAAUCAAUAUUUGUAACUUGGCAUGUUACGUGCAAGGAUGUUUUUUUACUUUGUCAAAUACCAAGACAUGUAACAGCAUAUCAUGAUGUGUGUUUUCUGUGCAGGACAUAUGACAGCUGCUUCAAAAUUACUCUGCAGUCUCAAUCAUGAUAUAGGACGCCCAGAAUCGCACGUGGCUUUUGUUGAAAUGUUUGGCAGAUGCAAGAGAGAUUCAAACUGCUAUUGAGCAUUUGAGGUGGGUUCAGCACAAGUCACCUUCAAUGCUACAAGAUAUAUGUACCGGACUUUUAGCUUCCAUUUCUGUUGCUAAAUGCCCGGAGCCGAUAUUGCAGUUUCUUCAAAGAAUGCAAGGUGUGUUUUGAUUUCAUGCGUAAGAGUACUUUGAAGGUUAUGUGCUACCGAUAAUUACUAUUUGAGAAGACAUUUGGAUUUGAGUGCCAUUGGUAACUAGCCUUCUUCACUAGUGACAGGCUAAACGAAGGUAAAGUACAAAUAGUAAUAAUAAUAAUAAUAAUAAUAAUUAUAAUUAACUUGCCUUUUAAAUGCUUAAUUAAGUUGUUUUCUCAAAUAUCGUUCUAAAUGAUAGACUGUAUAAGAAUCUGGUAGUUUCUGACUUUUAUUUUCUUCCUUUCUAAUUCUGUACAGACAUGAAAAAUGUAAACAAUCCCAGCCUGGGGUUGAAGCUACCAAAGAGCGCAUCAUAAUUGAAUUUUCCAACCAACACACACAGACCUGGUUUACGUUAUGAAAUUCCUGCAUUUCUCACUGAACUUCACUGCAAUGUCGUGGCUGCUGAGAUGUGGACACAUAAUGAUAAGGCGGAAACUGUAGUUCAUGUGACAAAUGAUUUUUGAGUGAUGAAGUGGUUGUUGCAUGAAUCAGAAUGGUAUAAGAACUGCAUUUUUAAGUAAUUUGAUGUAUAGAUAAUAGCUAUAUUUGAGUUUUAAUCUAACUCUCUUUAAUUUUUGUACCUUUUUUGCAGGUUGAGAUUGAGAGAUAUGGUUGGACUUUUGUAAAGAUAUGAUGGAGAUGUAUUUAGGAAGAGAAAUGAUAUUUGUACAAUCAUUUUAUAACAACUUUUGUGACAACUUUAUCUCUAAUACACACAUUAUAUUUUGACUUUCUCUCUCCAUUACUUUGAUUUUCGUAUCAAUACAUACUUUUCUUUGUAAAAACAGUUGUUCAGUUGGUUGUCAAACAAAUGAAUGUUCAAAUAACACUACUCUGGAAGGAAUGCCACCACGAUCUUAAUUGUGGCCUUUUUUUACAACUACUUUGACAAAUGAUCUCUUUUUAUAUGAAGAUUUUGGAUAUAGUUGUAUUUUGAUGUAAACUUAUUUGAGUAUUGUUGGUUUACUGGCAUGGACAUGUUUAUUUUGAUGUAGACUUAUUUGAGUAUUGUCACUGAACUUUUAUUGAUAUGUACCUGUUUAGAAAUAAUAUUAUUAGUAUGCAAUGUAUUUUUAUAUGUUCUUUCAAUUAAGACACUAGUUGAAAAUAAAAUGAUAAAUCAAAGAUCAAGUUGGUAUAAUCAAUUUGAACAUAAUGCUAUUUCUCAAGUUCCAAAGACACCAAUUGGUUGCAAGCUAAAUCAUUAGACUCAUCCUUCUACCAUUCUUUGUCUCCAACAAUUUUGGUAGCAGCACCAACUAUGUUAUGUUUCUGCAAUUGAGCUGCAGUUUCUGCAUAAUUUGCCACUUCCCAAUGCACUUCCAUUACCCCUUCUCCCAGACACUGUAUUCUUUGAUUGUACAAGGCUAUAGAAAAAACUUUAAUAUUUCUAUCUUAUAUUGAUUAUCUAGUCCAGCUAAUAAUUCCUUGCGUCUUAUGAGAAAGUCUAAGUUGGUCACAAAUAUAAAUAAAAAUUACUUAGAAGUACAUACAUAAAUAAGAAAAAUUUAAAGAUAAAAGUAAAAAAUGAUGUGACUAACUUUUUUUUUUAUAAUAUUUUUCAUUUAUGUAUGUGUGUCCAAAUAUUUUUGAUUUGGAGUUCUGACUAAGUAAGAAUUGCUCUGCACCUUACAUACAUACGCCUAAAUAUUAUUAGGGAAAAAAGAUAUGGAAUUUCAACAUAAACUAAUUUAGUUGUAAAAAAAAGUAAAAAAUAAUAAUUUAGAUUGACGUCCAAUAAAAUAUUUAUAAUUAAUUUAAAGAAAUAAGUUAUAAUGUAGGCUGACAUAACAAUAUGAUGAAUUCUUAUUAAAUAUUGGUAUAAAUUCAUCUUUAAUAAAUUGAAAUGGUUGUUAAAAUAAUGAAAAAGGCAGAAUUACAAAAUUCUUACAUCAACAAAACAUGAACUUAAGAUGUUCGUUUGUGGAAUUUACUAGUAUGGUAACCCGUGCGGACGCACGGUUGGACGUUGUCUUUGAAUAACAAAAAAUUAUACCAAACAUUUGCAUCAAACAAUUAACGACAAUCACACCUCAAUGUUCGUAUAACAUAUGUCUUAACAAAAACCUCACCUCGAUGAUUAUACUUAUCGACACACUGAUGUUCAUGUCAUGUCUGAUGUUGGUAUCGAUGAAUACAAAUCAUAGUUCACAAACAUAACUUUGGCGGUUAGUCAACAUUCACACCGGAGAUUUUUUAACAAAAUGAUACUCCUAAAAAAAAAAAAAAAAAAAAUUCAAAGUAAUACAGAUUACAAUUUCUUUAGUUGAUCGAGAUCACUUACAGGAUCAUGUUGUUCAUUCGUCAUAUGGUUUUCGAGUUCGUCACUCCUUUAUGCAGCUUAUUUGACGUUGUUUUGUUUGGAUUAUAUGGACUGAGCGCAACAAUAGGUUAUUCAAGAAUAUGGACAACUCUACUCACCAAUUGUUAGAUAAAGUCAAACUACAUUUUUUGUCAGGAACUUAAGUGACAAUUUUCUACUUUCACUUUAAUCUGUGUGACACCUCAUGCACGCAAUCUCAACAAUUAACAGAAGUUUUUAACAUCGGAGACUAAGCUGAUAAGAAAAUACACUUUCUGAUUUAAAGAUUACUUUAUAAUUAAUUCUAAGUCAGGAUUUUUGUAACAACGAUAUGGAGAUCAAAGUAAUCACUUAUUCGUAAUGAAUAUAUACAGUAAAUGUUUCUAGAGACUUUCAACGUGAGUGUCCUCCUCUCUCUCACUUUUCUUUCACCUAUUUUAAUUAAAUUUUAAAAAUCCAACAAAGCAAUAUAAUCACCUAUUUUUAUUUUAGUAUUAGUUUUAUUAUUUUUAAAAUUAUCACCAUUUGUUUAAAAAAAAACUCGAGUAUUGCUGUUCCUACAUAUAGUUUGGCUGUGCCACACGAGUAAAAUACCAAAAUGCCCCUCGGCAGUUUGCUACCGAAGUUUUUAGGAACCGGCGGCAGUUAACUGCCGAAGUUUUUAGGACACCGGCGGCAGUUAAGUGCCGAGGAAAACCUCGGUAGUUAACUGCCGAGGAGAAUGUUAUAAGAUCAGAACUUCAUAGGAGUUUCCAAAACUCCAUUGUUGCGUUUUUAAUUUUUGAAGGUGCGAUUUUGAGUCAUUUGAAGCCAUUAGAAGCCAAUUUUAAUCACAAAAACAAGUAAGUUUUUUGAAUCCUAUGCAAUAGUUGCUUUGUGGUCGAAUUGUAUGUUAUUUUUUGUUAAAUUUCGAUUAUAUAGGUUCGAUUAUAUUGAUUUGUUGAUUUUAUGAUAUGUUAGGAUAGUUUAGGUUAGAAUGGUUAGAAUUGUUAGGAUAGUUUAGGUUAGUGUAGGUUGAAUUGAUCGCCAUAUUUUUUUAAAUGUAGAUAUGUCUCAGAAUCAGAAUCAGGGUAACGUUCACGAUGAUGAGACGAAAAAAGAAAAGUCACCUAUGACAUGGCAUGGAAUUGUUUGCGAUGGUUCCGAAAAAAAGAAGGGUUCGAAGGUGCCGGUGUACAAUCACUCGAGGUUGAGGAGGAGCGGGAGGACAUGCUAUUUCGGUCCUCAACCAAAACAAGGUACCGCAGGGACUGUAGCGGACAAGCCGAUUGAUUUGUGUGACGAGGAAGAAUGAAUGUAAUGGCUUUUAAUGCCUAAUUGUUUUGGAUUUUUUUAUGUUUUAUUUUUGUGUCGCGCACAUUUUGUUUGACAUUAUGGUAUUUAGAAUAAAAUUGCAUUUGGAAUAAAUAAAUUUGAAAACAAAAUAAGAUAAUUAUUGUUCCAUUCAAAACAAAAUAUAUGUUAUCACAUUACAUUGCAUUUUACAUUACAUUCCGAAAUUUACCUUCCAGCUGCAACAAUCAUCUUACCACUGAAUGGGGCAAAUUCAAACUUGCUAAGCAGCAGGACUCCAGUAUUCGAUGAGCAUCUUGAACGAUGGUAUUCAAGUGUCAAAAGAAUGAGGUGCAUUCCUUGACACUUGAAUACCAUUGUCCAAGAUGCUCAUCGAAUACUGGAGUCUUGCCGAUUAACAAGUUUGAAUUGCCCCAUACCAGGGUAAGACAAUUGUUGCAGUUGGAAUGUGCAUUCCAACCACAACAAUUGUGUUACCUUUGAAUGGGAUAAAUUCAAACCUGCAAAACAACAGGACUCAAGCAUUUCGCCAAACACCUCAUGUUUUCCCUUUGAAAAUAAUAAAUUUUUGUGAGGCUUGCUUUAGAUGAUGGUAUUCAAGUGCCACCGAAUUGAGGUUCAAUCCUUGACACUUAAUACCUUCAUCUAAACCAGCAUAACAAAAAUUUAAUAUUUUCAAAGGAGAAACAUGAGGUGCUUGCGAAAUGCUUGAGUCCUGUUGUUUGACAAGUUUGAAUUACCUCAUUCAAAGGAAUACAAUUGUUGUAGUUGGAAUGCACCUUACCCUAACUAAUGACGAUCUUGUGGCGGAAUCAAACUUUUGAUGAUAUCUUCAGUUGAUCUAAGCAACUUCACCCGCAUAUCGAUCCACUGGAACAUGCUGUGCUCCCAAAACAUGGUCGUCACGUUUUCGUUGAAUUGCACAUGAACGUCGAUCCACCCCGCCAUUGUUUUAAAUCUACACAAUAAGAAACUAAAAACAAUCAAUCAAAAACACAUUAUACAUACACUCUAAAAUUCAUAAAAAUAACCCUAAAAUUAUAAAUCAUAUACUCUUACUAAAAUAAAAAAAUUUAUAUCAUAUAACAUAAACAUCAUGCAAAUAUUUUAACAACAUUAAUCAACUAACAUAUACCCUAAAAUUUAAUUAUAACAUGUAAAUCUACUAAAAAAUAAUAAAUGUACUCAAAAACUAAAAAAUAAUAACAUUUAUAACAACUAAAAUGUAAGUUAAUAGCAUUAUAAUUACUUACUUGUGAUUUUGUUGAAUAAAGUUUGUUGGAUUUGGUUGUGUUUGUUAGAGAGAAUUUGAGAGACAUUUGAAGAAAUUUUGGAAGAUAAGAUCAAUAAUGGAUGAGAGGAGAUUCUGCCAGAUUUUGUAGUGCAGAAGUUCCUCGGCAGUUAACUACCGAGGUUUUCCUCGGCAGUUAACUGCAGCCGGAUUUGAGCAAAUUUCGGCAGUUAACUGCCGAAGAAAACUGUCGUAGAAAACCUCGGUAGUUAACUGCCAAGGAAAACCUUCACAAAGUUCUCAAGUUCUCUCAAAUCUUCGCCAAUUCUUCUUUCACGAAUUGCGAGCAAAUCAACGGGACACUUAUAUUAUAUUCUGUCAAGUUCUCUCAAGUUCUCUCUCGUCCCUAUUUUUCCUACUCUCAACUUAUUUUUAUGUUUUAUGUUCAUAAAGCAACCUAUAUUUGCACAUUAAAGCAACCUAUUUUUGCACAUUAAACAAAGUAAAAAAAACCCAUGAAAUUAAAAAUAAUGUCAUCAAAGUAGAAAUACACAAAUAUACAUAUAUACAUAACUCAAUGUCAUCAAAAGACUAAAACUAAAAAAUAAGUCCUAAAAAAGGAAAAUAGUACUACUGGUCCUGAUCCUGAUGAUGGUGCCUCCUCCUCGGCCUCUGGGCUCUCCUCCUGGUCAAAAUCGGCGCGAUCUGCUCCCUCAUAUGGGUCAUGGCCUCAUACCACUGCUGAGGGGUCAUGCUCAUGACCUCCUCCUGGCCUAACUGCGCAUCAGCGUAGGCAACAGCGCCACUAACCAUGUCAUAGGUGUCAGGCGAGCUUCUCGCCUCAUACCGCUGCCACUGCUCUGCAAUGAUCUGCUCUUCAUUUGCAGGCCUCGGAAGAUCUCCUGGAAUAGGUGGCAAGAUCUGAGGGUGAGACACCCUAGUGUACCACAGGACAUAGCCAUCCGCCACCCGCCGUGUAUCCUCUCCUGCCUGCACACCCCGAGCGUCCGCCUUAAGCGUGUGAGUGCGGAAGUCGAUGAACAUCUGCACAAUGGAAGGCGGUGGGAGGUCCCUAACAUCAGUCGGAUGUCUGGGGAUGGUCUGCACGUAUCCGUACUGCCUCAAAACCCUCUCGGGCAAGUGACGGUACACCCUACGGACGCCGCACAUAAUCCAUCCAGAAUACCAGAAAACCUCCUCGAAGUCCUGGAUCUCUCUGUGCUCCUCGUACGGCCUCCAGCAUACAUCAUCUAACUGUAUACGAUCGAGCAGUGACCGAUAUGUGAUCCCCUCCCCAUGACCCUUCUCGAGCUUCCACCUCGCUGCAACCGGAUAGUUUUCCAGGUAGUCAGUGUUGAGAUCAACACUGAAAAACCCUGGAAAAUGCUUCAAAAACCAUGUCUGCACAAACCAUUCAAAUAACAUUUAUAAAUUAUUACGCACGGAAAAAUAUAACAAAAAAUUAAAAGUUCACAAAAAAAUAAAGUUAACAUAAAUAUAAAAUUUCAGUUUUCUUACAGUGAGCAGUGUCACGCUCCCCCCAAGCGCUCUGUGUCCAGGCCUACAUGCAUCCGCCAACUCGCCGUAUAGGUAGGCGAGGGUCAUAGCUCCCCAGGAAUAAUUACGCAUCCCUGCGUAGCCGUCCGCCAUGGUCGUCAAAUAUAUCAGCUCGAUGCGCUUGUUGCUUCUAUCGCCAAACAACAAGCAUCCGACCAAGUACAGAAGGUAACACCGGACGCAGUAUGUCCUGACCCUCUCCAGCUCCUCAACCUCCUCAGGAUCCUCCGUACCCACCAAUACAUUGGCCCUACCAAGGUACGAGGUAUAGAAGUCCCUCAGCCUGGGGUAGCUAAUGUACCCACCGUACUCCUGGUUGCAGAUCUUCUCAGCCUCAUGCUGGGCCACACCAAGAUACGUCAUCAGCAGUGCCGCUCCCUCAUGCUUGGGCAUCUUCUUCCCAUGGGCCAACAUCCGCCCCUCAAUAGGAAGAUGCAUGAGACAUGCGACAUCAUCCAAUGUCACAGUCAUCUCCCCCAUCGGCAUGUGGAAGGUGCUGGUCUCCGGAUGCCACCUCUCGCAUAAAGUAAGCAGCAGGGCAUGAGGCACGGUGGAGUACCCCAAGUAGACCAAGUCAUGUAGCCCGCUCUGCUGAAGCGCAUCCCAAAACCAAUUCUCAUUCCCGUUAGGGCGUCCGAGAGUGAGAAUCUUCGCCCCAUGAUUAAUCGGUUUAAGCACGCGGGUCUUACGAACCUGAAAUAAUAGAAAAAUAAAUUUGGUUUAAACAAAAACACAUAUAAACAAAACAAUUAAACAUAAAAAAUAGAAUUAAAAAAAAUAAACAUAUAACAGUGUAUAUAAUAAUUAAAACAAACACACAUUUAAAGAAAAUAAUUAAACAUAAAGAAAAAGAAUUAAAAAAAAAACAAAUAUAGAGGUGGAUAUAAUAAUAAAAACAAACACACAUUUAAAGAAAAUAUUUUAACAUAAAGAAAAACCAAUUAAAAAAAACACAUAUAAAAGUGGAUAUAAUAAUUAAACAAACACACAUUUAAAUUAAAGAAAAUAUUUUAACAUAAAGAAAAAACAAUUAAAAAAAAUAUACUUACAUUAUUUGAAUUAUACAAGAGUGGCAACGCCACAUGACUGGCAUAAGAGUGGAGCAAGGACAAGUCAGCCGGUCCACCAGGAAAGGGAGGGUCCGUAGGUAACACCUCCGGUGCAGCAGCUGCUGCAAUGUCAUCCUCGUCUCCUGCAUCCUGCUCAUGUGGUAUAUGAUCCUGGUCAUAUCCACCGUCCGUCACAUCAUGAUGUACCUGAUCCUGAUAGUUCAGGUACUCCACCCCAGUCUGGUCAACAGGCUGUGACGGGUCAACAACCUGUGACUCCUCAGGCUGUGUAGCCUGAGAGCUUCCUGAGUCAUCUCCCCUCCGACCUCUACCCCUCUUUGGGAUGUGGGCACUCUGUCUCUCCCUGCGGUGGCUCUGAGUCAUGGCACGCCUACCACCAAUCAUCCUCGAUGGAUCAAUGGGGUCCUGAUCGGCCAUAUCUACAAAAAAUAAAAAAUAAAAAUUAAUAUCAUUCAACCACUUUAUCAACAAACAGUAAACCUAAACAAAACCUACACUUUCACAUUCAACCUAAACAUAACCUAAACAUAACCGCUUUCACAUUAAACCACUUUACCAAAAUAAAGACAUUGAUUGAACCUAAACAUUAUCAUACACAUUAUCAUUAACAUUCAAACGCAAAAAAUCAAAUGCAUUAUCAUACACAUUCAACCUACACUAAACAUAAUUCAAUAUACACAUUCAACCUAAUUCAAUAUACACUUUUUCAAUAUGCAUUCAACUUAAUUCAACAUACACGUUUUCGAAUUACAAUCAAGAUCGUAUCCAAUACCUAAACUAACUAAAUAAUCAAUAAAAUUGUCAUUGACACAUUUUAUCAAACACUUUGUGUGCAAAGUAUCAUACUCAAAAUGUGUUAUUUUGCCACCAAUCAAAACCACAUUAUACCCUAACAUCAUUCAAUCAUCAAUUAAACCAACUACAUUCAAUUAUAAACUACAUGCACUCAUAAAAAAUUCAAUUCAUACAUUAACCCUAACCACAUGAAAACUACCAUUUUUUUUAAAAAAAAAACCUACCCAAACUAACAUUAUGAUUAAAAAUGAGUCAAGAUACUUACUUGUGAUUAAAUGGAGAUGAUGCACUUGAUUUUGUUGAAAAAUCGAAUUUGGAGAAUUUUUAUGGUUUGGAACAAGUUUUGAACAAUGAAGCAAAUGAAGAAAACUGAGUUUCUGCGUUCUGGUUAUGAUCAGUUUUCCUCGGCAGUUAACUGCCGAAGAAAUCCUCGGUAGUUUGCUGCCGCCGGUUCACUCAAAACUUCGGCAGUUAACUGCCAAAGGGCAUUUUGGUAUUUUACUUGUGUGGCACAACCAUACCUAUAUGUGGGAACAACAAUUCUCAAAAAAAAAUCACCCAUUCCACCUCUAAAAAAAUUUAAAAAAAAUAUUUAUACACUGGAAAUUACUAUAAUGCCCUUAACUAAUAUGAAUAUUACCAAUUCAAUUUCAUUUCCUCUUCCCCUUUCUCUUUCAUCUGAUGCGCGUUCUCCCAGCCAAAGCAAAACCACCGAACAACAUCCACCACCACACCACUGCCGGCGAGCCGCGACCACUCUUCUCCUUCUCCAUCCAUCACCGCCGCACCCCCCUCAAUCUUCUGUAUUGAUUCUUUAGUUUAGAGAGCUAUCUCCAUCCAUCUCUCUCCACAAACCCUAAUUGUUGUAACUUGUAAGGUAAUGUGAAAUUGAAUGUAAUUUCCUUCAAUUCUGAUUCUGAUUUGAUGAUUACAUGUUCUUUAGUAAUGUGAAAUUGAAUUUUUUUAGUUUUCGAUUGCUACUGAUUACUACUACAGAAGACAUGAAUGUUCUGCUUAUUAUUAUGGUUUAGAACAUGAACUCUGAUUUCUACUGAACUGUUACUUGUGUUUAAAUAAUUGUAUUGAGUGUGAGAGACGAAUUCCAAUUGAAAGCCUCGGUUUUAAAUAAUUGUCUUAAACAAUAGUAGAAUAUGAAAGCCUGAUAACUAGUCAAAUUGUUUUAGAGUUACUAUAGGUAAAUAAACACAAUUCAAAACGGUUUAGGAUUGACCCUCCAUCACUUUUAUAUUAUAUAUGAAUCAAGUUUUAUUGCAUUGAAAUGAGCAGAAAUGUGAAAAUACCUUCAGGCUUUUGCUAAAACACUUGUUAACAACCUAAAUUAUUUGUGUAGGAAUUUCAAAAGUGUGUAAUUGGCACAUCGAAUUGGUAUCUCUCUCUCAAGUUCCAAAUCCAACCAGAAGAUGUAGAAAGGGCAUUCGACUUCAAGUUUUUUUUUUCUUCUGCCAUAACUACUUGACUCGAGAACUUUGUUUAGGGAGAAAUUUGAGAUUCUCUUGAACCUUAGUAAAGAGGUAACCACUUUUAUAUACCCCUUGUAAUGACGAAAUAUGGUUGUUAAUCUUCACUCAAUAUUCAAAACGAUAAACUAACCACAGACUAACAAAUAUAUUCAUGUAUGUUUCUUUUAUGGCAUUCAGCUGUGUUAAAAAGUGUGCAAAUGUAUUAUUGCUUAAAAUCAUUGGUUAUUUGAGUAGGCGAUGAAGAGAUACAACAUUAUUUAUAAUCAAUGUUGAUUUAAUAUUUUUUUUCUCUAACUCAUUACCAAACCCUGUAAAGUUACUUCUCAACUUUUAAAAUAAAUAAAAUGAUACUUUGCUUAAAAAUCAUUCUUUUUGCUCAGAUUACAUAAAAAAACAUAAAAAGUCACAAUUUUUUUUUUUAUUCUCUUUAAUAUAUUUGUCUAUUAACUUGCACUUUGUACAGUUGAGCAAAAAUAUUGCUUCCUUAGAUAGCGUGGCUAGUAGAAUCUUUGGUUUUUGAAGACCAAAGACUUCUUGUAGUGUCUAGUGAUUAAAAUUUCAAAACCUUGAUUACUUCAGGUCCAUUCGGUGAUACGAAAUCAUGGGUAGGUUAUGAUAUAUGCAACUAUGAAGGAUUCUACUGUGAAAACCCACCAGGUAACAAAUCCGUUAUUGCUUUAGCCUCAAUUGAUUUCAAUAGUUUCCAAAACAAGCACACGUACAUUACACACAACAAAAACCAAAACAAGUUCAACAUGAAACCUGCAACAUCAACACUAGAAUUAGCAAAAAGAAUAAGCAGAACAAUAAUCACAACCUCAAAAAACAACAACACAAAAACCAAACAUAAACAUCAUCAUUAUUCAUGGAACUCACAAAUCGAACAAAACAUUCACAACAACCUCAAACACAAUCUAACACCAUCACUUGUUUCUUCAAUCAUUGACCCUUUUCUCCUUAAUCACCAUUCUCUUGCCUUAGGUUUUUUCAAUUGGGUUUCUCAACAACCCAAUUUCACUCACAAUGCUUCCACUUUUCAUUCCAUUCUCAAAUCACUCUCCUUAACACAAAACCAUUCACACUCACACUCUCUUAUUCAACUUGUUAAAAAAGCUCAAUUUUUGAAUAUUCAAAUACACCCUUCUGUUUUUUGUGCUGUUAUAACAAGCCACAUUGCACGAAAUAACUUAAAUCAAGCAUUUUUAAUCUUCAACGAUGUCGUUGAAUUGAUUGCUCAAAUGGGUGCCCCUAUAUGUAAUUCUUUACUAGCUGCACUUGCUGGUUGUAAUAUUGAUAAUGCACGUAAGGUGUUUGAUGAAAUGAUUGUUAGGGGUGUACGUUUUAGUACGUUGGGUUUUGGUGUUUUUGUUUGGUGGGUUUGUAAGGAGGGUGAUAUGGGGAAAGUGUUGGGUUUAGUGGAUGAGGUUGGCGAAUGUGGUUUUGAGAUUAAUGGUUCAGUUGUGGCGGUUUUGAUUGUUCACGGUUUGUGUGAGGUUGGGAAGGUGGAUGAGGCAAUGGUGAUGUUGGGUGAGUUGAGGGAGAGAGGGUGGAAGCCUGAUUUUAUGGCGUAUUGGGUUGUUGCUAAUGAGUUUAGGAAGAUGGGGAAUGUGGUUGUUGAGAUUAAGGUUUUGAAGAUGAAGAGGAAAUUAGGUGUGGCUCCUAGAAGUGGGGAUUAUAAAGGGUUUAUAUUUGAAUUGGUCUCGGAGAAGCGAAUUUUGGAAGCGAAGAUGACUGGGGAGGUUAUUGUUGGUGGUAAUUUUGUUGUUGAGGAUGAUGUUUUUAAUGUGUUGAUUGAAUCUGUUUCGGACAUUGAUCCUGUUGGGGCGAUCGUGUUUUUUAAUUAUGUUGUUGAGAAAGAGAGGUUUUUGAGUGUUUCGAGUUUGAAUAGCUUGAGUAGGAAUUUGUGUAGGGUGGGUAAGGUGGAUGAAUUGUUGGAGGUGUUUCGUGUUUUGGAUUGUCGAAAUUACUUCAAGGAUGUCGAGGGUUACAAUGUGAUGGUGUCGUGGUUGUGCGAAGCUGGGAGAGUGAAAGAAGGCUAUGCUGUUCUUCAGGAGAUGAAGAAGAAAGGGUUGAAUCCUGAUGUCUCGUCUUAUAAUUAUGUGAUGGAAGCGUGUUGUAAGGAGGAUUUACUGCGCCCUGCGAGGAAGCUCUGGGAUGAGAUGUUUGCGAGUGGAUGUUGUGGGAACUUGAAAACAUAUAAUGUUUUGAUUCACAAGUUUUUGGAGGAGGGGCUAAUUGAAGAGGCUCGGACGUUGUUUAAUCGCAUGGUGGACAAGGGAGUUGAACCUGAUAGUGCGAGUUACACUUUUCUCUUACAAGGGUUCUGCCGAGAAGAUAAACUUGAAGAAGCUUUUGAGCUCUAUAGCAGGUCUGUCAGACAGGAUAUCACCAUUGCAAGAGACAUUUUGGGCUCAUUUAUAUUGUCACUCUGCAAGAAAGGUAUUAAUGUAUAUAGUUUGUAAUCAAGGUCAUAGUCUCGUAAUCUUUCAUAUUGUGGAACAUUGCGAUUAAAUGCUGCUGAUGCAGCCUCAAUUGAAAUUGUGUUGAAGUCAUGGAGACAUCAAAGAUAUUGAUGUUGUGGCCCAAGUCGCGGCUGUGGACCUUUUUUCAAAAUCAUCCUUACAAUCAAUAUUUGUAACUUGGCAUGUUACGUGCAAGGAUGUUUUUUUACUUUGUCAAAUACCAAGACAUGUAACAGCAUAUCAUGAUGUGUGUUUUCUGUGCAGGAC